UUUCACGCUGCACUUCUAAUUCUUCUUCGACAAGCUCCUCUAUUUUCAGCGCGGAGUUCAAAAUCGUCAACGUCUGCAACGCCGCGUCCCUUUCCAGUUCUCCAAAUCAUUGCUUCACUUCCGCGCGCGUCUUCACUUUCACGCCGCACUUCUUUUCCUUUGCUUCUAAUUCGCCAUUAUCGUCGAAUGCCACCACCGUGCCUUCCAAAACACAGCAACAACAAGCACAAGAGCAUGCCUCUUUAUGUGAAGAAGCUUCUAGAAAGUUUCCUUCUCUCAUCGCUGAAUCCGCGAUCGUCACUAAAAUAAUCCAUGUCGACGACAUCAUUCCCCUUUUCAAGGGCUUCAGAAUUUGGCUCUCUGAACCUUCGAUGCUCUCCUCCUCUCUCUCCCCGGGUUCGAUUGUGUCGAUAAUCACCAUUAUGUUCGAAUUGAUACAAUUCAUUUCCCUCAACACUAAUAAAUCCCUAGGGUUUUGCUCUUCCUUUAAUUAGAAGUUUUUGAGAAAAUGAUGUGGUUUGAAGUCAUAUUUUAUGAUUUAUUAUUGUUUUUGUAGAAUCGCGAUGCUCAGUCCUUGCUUCCUCUAACAGUGAAGCAAAUAUACGAUGCGCUUCGAACAAACGAUGAUAAAGCCAAUUUCAUUGUUGACGGUGUGGACGUUAAUAAUGUACGUUCUCCUUGAAUCUCUGUUGGUUAAUUUGGUUAAAGUUUGGAGGUUCUGACAAUUGGAGCAACUUUUACCGUGGUCAUGGCAAAACCUUUUGCUGGGAUUCGGUUUCCUACUAUUCCUGUCGACCACAAGGCACAUUGUGGUGUGUUAUGGAAAAGAAAUGAAGAACCUAAUUUGAUCAAAUGCAUUAUAGAAUUUGAAACAGAUACACGAUCACAUCCUUCAAUUUUCCAAGAGAAGCGAACCUUCUAUAUGACUCAGCCUGUGAAACUACUCUGAUUAUACCAAAGGAGUAAUCUGCUUCCAAUUCGAAUUCACAGCAUAGAUGAAAGAACCCUGCAAUCAUUUAUGAGGGGAAAUUCCUAUAGAGGAAGAAUUACCACUCUAACAUACCUAGAAAAGAAUGAAGGCGGGGAGUGAAAGUGUUUGUACUGGCUGCCUCACCUUUUCAGAUCCAAAGGGGAGAUGCUGGUUUCUCAAGUCAAAUUUGCAUUUGUAUCUGGAUUAGCAAUAACCAUUUAAUUCAUACUAGGUCUAAUGGAUGUGGAAAAGUGGUUCAUAAGAGACUGGUUUGAGCUAUUGACAUGGCUGCAUUUGAGUUUGAUCUACUAGAAGAAUAUGAUUCACGCUUUGAGAAACUGAGUCUAGGUGAUAAAUUGCCUAUCAAAUUCUCCAAGUGAGUAAUUGUUAGAAAGACAAGUUAUUGAAUUAUAGACAAUGUAAUUGUUAAUUUUUUAAGUUGGAUUACAAACAAUGUAAUUUUCAAUUUCUAUGUAUAACAGUUUC